rnacentral:rRNA from 1 species
UACGUAGGGGGCGAGCGUUGUCCGGAAUGAUUGGGCGUAAAGGGCGCGUAGGCGGCCUGUUAAGUCUGGAGUGAAAGUCCUGCUUUCAAGGUGGGAAUUGCUUUGGAUACUGAUGGGCUGGAGUGCAGGAGAGGUUAGUGGAAUUCCCGGUGUAGCGGUGAAAUGCGUAGAGAUCGGGAGGAACACCAGUGGCGAAGGCGACUAACUGGACUGUAACUGACGCUGAGGCGCGAAAGUGUGGGGAGCAAACAGG